CGACCUGAGAUCAGACGAGAUUACCCGCUGAAUUUAAGC
rnacentral:rRNA from 2 species